rnacentral:rRNA from 1 species
UACGUAGAAGACUAGUGUUAUUCAUCUUUAAUAGGUUUAAAGGGUACCUAGACGGUAUAAUUAGUCUUAAACAGGAUACGAUUAUACUAGAGUUAUAUAUGAGGAGGUGAGUAUUUAUGCAGUAGAGUUGAAAAUUCGUUGAUAGCAUAACGACUGGUAACGGCGAAAAGCAACCUUUUAUCUAAUAACUGACGUUGAGGGACGAAAGGC